rnacentral:sRNA from 1 species
GUUGUUCCGCGUGAGGGAUUGAAGUGGAGCUCUUUUUUCUUUUCAAUUNNGGGCAAUUGAAAAGAAAAAAAGCGGGAACGGAAAGCCCGACCCGAA